AGAGUUUGAUCCUGGCUCAGGACGAACGCUGGCGGCGUGCUUAACACAUGCAAGUCGAACGGAAAGGCCCUUCGGGGUACUCGAGUGGCGAGCGGGUGAGUAACACGUGGGUGAUCUGCCCUGCACUUUGGGAUAAGCCUGGGAAACUGGGUCUAAUACCGAAUAUGACCAUGCACUUCCUGGUGUGUGGUGGAAAGCUUUUGCGGUGUGGGAUGGGCCCGCGGCCUAUCAGCUUGUUGGUGGGGUAAUGGCCUACCAAGGCGACGACGGGUAGCCGGCCUGAGAGGGUGACCGGCCACACUGGGACUGAGAUACGGCCCAGACUCCUACGGGAGGCAGCAGUGGGGAAUAUUGCACAAUGGGCGCAAGCCUGAUGCAGCGACGCCGCGUGAGGGAUGACGGCCUUCGGGUUGUAAACCUCUUUCAGCACAGACGAAGCGCAAGUGACGGUAUGUGCAGAAGAAGGACCGGCCAACUACGUGCCAGCAGCCGCGGUAAUACGUAGGGUCCGAGCGUUGUCCGGAAUUACUGGGCGUAAAGAGCUCGUAGGUGGUUUGUCGCGUUGUUCGUGAAAACUCACAGCUUAACUGUGGGCGUGCGGGCGAUACGGGCAGACUUGAGUACUGCAGGGGAGACUGGAAUUCCUGGUGUAGCGGUGGAAUGCGCAGAUAUCAGGAGGAACACCGGUGGCGAAGGCGGGUCUCUGGGCAGUAACUGACGCUGAGGAGCGAAAGCGUGGGGAGCGAACAGGAUUAGAUACCCUGGUAGUCC
rnacentral:rRNA from 1 species